CCUACGGGAGGCUGCAGUAGGGAAUCUUCCACAAUGGACGAAAGUCUGAUGGAGCAACGCCGCGUGAGUGAAGAAGGGUUUCGGCUCGUAAAGCUCUGUUGGUAGUGAAGAAAGAUAGAGGUAGUAACUGGCCUUUAUUUGACGGUAAUUACUUAGAAAGUCACGGCUAACUACGUGCCAGCAGCCGCGGUAAUACGUAGGUGGCAAGCGUUGUCCGGAUUUAUUGGGCGUAAAGCGAGUGCAGGCGGUUCAAUAAGUCUGAUGUGAAAGCCUUCGGCUCAACCGGAGAAUUGCAUCAGAAACUGUUGAACUGGAGUGCAGAAGAGGAGAGUGGAAUUCCAUGUGUAGCGGUGGAAUGCGUAGAUAUAUGGAAGAACACCAGUGGCGAAGGCGGCUCUCUGGUCUGCAACUGACGCUGAGGCUCGAAAGCAUGGGUAGCGAACAGGAUUAGAUACCCCUGUAGUC
rnacentral:rRNA from 1 species